UACGGAGGGUGCGAACGUUAAUCGGAAUUACUGGGCGUAAAGCGCGCGUAGGCGGCUUGUUAAGUCAGAUGUGAAAGCCCCGGGCUCAACCUGGGAAUUGCAUUUGAAACUGGCAAGCUAGAGUGCAGUAGAGGGAGGUGGAAUUCCAGGUGUAGCUGUGAAAUGCGUAGAUAUCUGGAGGAACACCAGUGGCGAGGGCGGCCUCCUGGACUGACACUGACGCUGAGGUGCGAAAGCGUGGGGAGCAAACAGC
rnacentral:rRNA from 1 species